rnacentral:lncRNA from 1 species
AUCGUUCUCGUUGCGCCACGUGUCAUUAUCCGCAAAGACAAUUAUUGGUGAUGGAUUUCCGAUAAGAUUUUUAAUUGUUGUGUCAAGGCACGUGUCAUUAUCUGAAAAGACAAUUAUUGAUGAUGGAUUUCUGAUAUGGUUUUUAACCAAUCACGCCGUGCCACGUGUCACAAUCCGAUUACAAUCUUUGAGGAUAGAUUUCCACCAGAUUUUUAACGAAAGUAGGUAACAAAUAAAUAAUACGAACAAAUAAUUAUAAUGAAAGUAGGUAACAAAUAAAUAAUACAAACAAAUAAUUAUAAUGAAAGUAGCUAACAAAUAAUUAUAAUGAAAGUAGGUAACAAAUAAUACAAACAAAUAAAUAUAAUGAAAGUAGCUAACAAAUAAUUAUAAUGAAAGUAGGUAACAAAUAAAUAAUACAAACAAAUAAAUAUAAUGAAAGUAGUUAACAAAUAAUACAAACAAAUAAAUAAUAUAUUGUUACCUGAUCCACUAAAUUUUCCCCACUUCGAAGAUUACCACUAGCUUGUGCCAAGACGUCUCUCCACGUAGUAAACGAUUGACUAAGUAAUUUCCAACGACUGGA